ACUGUUAACAAGCAUUUCACACACACACCCCGCAGGUAUUACCUACCCUGUCUCGUCUCUGAUUCAGACCCCCUUUCUAUCCACUUUGAUGCGGCGCUUUCCCCGCUAGUGCUGUGCACCGCGCGCACGUGCGCGGGAACGGAAUGUUAGAAUCUAAUGAGCUGCGUGAGUCAAAGCACCCCGGCGCGUGUGGGUCUCGUUAGUAAGCGAUCAGCUGGUGGAGCUGAACAGGAAAUGUGCACGGAGCACUAAAUGUCUGGCGUUUGGGAUGCCCAAGAAACUCUGUUUAGCCUACUCGUGCUGUAUGCGUGCCUCUGUCCUGCAUGCCAUGUGUCCUGCUUGCUGUUUUCUCCUCUUCUUGGUUAACCAAAUAGUGAAAAGCUCACUCUUCUUGGUUACUGUACGCCAGCCGUCAUGCUAAAACAGCCGGCACAUCAACUGCUUUAAGUAAAAGUUGGUGGACCGUUAAGUUGUUAAGGAUCAACAGUAAAUUAUGAGAAGCUGACCAUGCAAAGACAAGUGCAAGAACUCCACGAGAUGAAGAGUUUCUACUGUAUUACUGAAGUCCUCUGAAAGUGAUGUUAAAAAGCAUCUUAUCACCUGAUGAAUUCUUCAGGAAUCUUUCUGUGGCUUAUUUUUAAAGGUGCUGGCCAAGUGACCCUUAUCCUAUAUUGCCUAUGAUCUUCAAAAUGGAAUUCUUAACUUAUAGAACACAUCCUUGUGGCUUAAGUCCGUGCUUCAUCACUAUUCCGGAAGAUACUAAGAUAACAGAAAGGAAAUAACACAAACCAGUUAUUAAGCAGUAAAAUAGCACUCUGCAGACUGCUCUUGCUUGGAGCUUGAUGCUGGAUUUUAUGGGCUUUUCAAUGUUGCAUUUAUACUGGUGUCGCUUUGGUUAAAACUUGCAGCCC